GAUGAACGCUGGCGGCGUGCCUAAUACAUGCAAGUCGAGCGAACAGACGAGGAGCUUGCUCCUCUGACGUUAGCGGCGGACGGGUGAGUAACACGUGGAUAACCUACCUAUAAGACUGGGAUAACUUCGGGAAACCGGAGCUAAUACCGGAUAAUAUAUUGAACCGCAUGGUUCAAUAGUGAAAGACGGUUUUGCUGUCACUUAUAGAUGGAUCCGCGCCGCAUUAGCUAGUUGGUAAGGUAACGGCUUACCAAGGCGACGAUGCGUAGCCGACCUGAGAGGGUGGGCGCCCACACUGGAACAUGAACAGGGUCCAACCUCCUCGGGGAGGCAGCAGGAGGGACUCGUCCGCAGGGGGGAAAGCCCGGAAGAGACACCCCCGAGUGGGAGAUAAGGUUGUUGGUAUCAAAAACCUUUUUAUUAGGGAAAAAAAAAAUGUGAAAGUAACAAUCCACUUUUGGAGGGUACCUAAUAAAAAACCCCGGCCAAACCACGCC
rnacentral:rRNA from 1 species